AGUUAGUGGCGGACGGGUGAGUAACGCGUGGAAAACCUGCCGUAUACUGGGGGAUAACACUUAGAAAUAGGUGUUAAUACCGCAUAAGCGCACAGCUUCGCAUGAAGCGGUGUGAAAAACUCUGGUGGUAUACGAUGGUUCCGCGUCUGAUUAGCUAGUUGGUGGGGUAAUGGCCUACCAAGGCAACGAUCAGUAGCCGGCCUGAGAGGGUGAACGGCCACAUUGGGACUGAGACACGGCCCAAACUCCUACGGAAGGCAGCAG
rnacentral:rRNA from 1 species